rnacentral:rRNA from 1 species
GACGGAGGGUGCUAGCGUUGUUCGGAAUCACUGGGCGUAAAGGGCGCGUAGGCGGCCUUGCAAGUCGGUUGGUGAAAGCCCGGGGCUCAACCCCGGAGGUGCGGCCGAGACUGCAGGGCUGGAGGCCGGAAGAGGAGGGUGGAAUACCCAGUGUAGAGGUGAAAUUCGUAGAUAUUGGGUGGAACACCGGUGGGCGAAAGCGGCUCUCUGGUCCGGACCUGACGCUGAGGCGCGAAAGCGUGGGGAGCAAACAGG